AUAAUUUUUCAAAAUUGCUUAGUUACUUAAAAUAUCAUUCAAGACGUUUUAAAUAAUGAAUAUAUUUAACUCUCAUUGACAUUUAGAGGUCACAAUUAAAAUAUUCUGAAUUGAAUUUGAACUAGCUAAAUAUUUUCUAGUUCCUCCAGUUUUCAUGAUGGUAUAUUUCUAUAUUAUUAUAGCUUUUGUUUUUUUGCAUAUAAUCUGUGAUUUUAAUUACUUUUUGCGGACUGUUUUUACUGUUAUUACAAGUCGUUUUUGUGAAAACAAAUGUUCUUUGGAUGACGUUACUACUAUUUAUGGUCUUUGUACUUUACAAGAUUGCGAUGUAUUCUUCAAGAGUAUUCGCACGGCCAGAUUAGUACGCGAAAUCGAUUUCGCGAGAUACCAUUAUUACGAGAGAGUCGGUAUUUACGAACGCAGUAUAAAAUUGGGUAUAAAAUCAUUGCAAGGAUCAACAAUGACUGUGGUUUGUGAGCCUCUACCAAUUUUUGCGAUCUACAAAAUUAAUACUAAGCUAGUGUACUGGGACGAAAGAUCUCUUUUUUUCGAACAUGAAGUAGUUACAUUGCGGGAUGGUAAAGUCAGACAUCUCUUGAUAUCUCGGCAAUAUGCUAUUGGUUCUAAUAAAGAAACAACGGAGGCUCUUCUAAAAGGUCUACCCGGCUCAAGUAAUAGACCAAAAUGUCCACCACACAUCGAACGUUGGUUGAGUAGUAUGCAAAAAUCAAGUGAUAAGCUUCGUAAUAAACAAUAAAGGAUAA